rnacentral:rRNA from 1 species
UUGCGGUUAAAAAGCUCGUAGUUGGAUUUCUGUCGAGAUUGAUCGGUCCUCCCUCUGGGAGACGUAUCUGAUUCGGUUUUGGCGUCCUCGUAUUUUGUUUUCUGUCCUUCAUUGGAUGGAAAAUGAGUACGACUUUUACUUUGAGGAAAUUCGAGUGUUUACGGCAGGCAAUCGCCCUGAAGAUAUUAGCAUGGAAUAAUAAUAUAGGACCUUGGCCCUAUUUUGUUGGUUUCUAGAGCUGAGGUAAUGAUUAAUAGGGAUAUUUGGGGGCAUUCGCACUAACCGGUCAGAGGUGGAAUUCUUGGAUUCGGUUAUGACGAACGACUGCGAAAGCAUUUGUCAAGAAUGUUUUCAUUGAUCAAGAACGAAAGUGUGGGGAUCGAAGAUGAUUAGAUACCGUCGUAGUCUACACCAUAAACUAUGCCAACUAGGGAUCAGGGGUUGUCUUCUUGUAACUCCCUUGGCACCUUACGAGAAAUCAAAGUUUUUGGGUUCCGGGGGGAGUAUGGUCGCAAGGCUGGA